rnacentral:rRNA from 1 species
GCAGGAUGAAGCGAAAGUAAAAUUUCGUGGAGGUCCGAACCCACGAGCGUUGAAAAGCUCGGGGAUGACUUGUGGGUAGCGGUGAAAUUCCAAUCGAGCCCGGAGAUAGCUGGUUCUCCCCGAAAUAGCUUUAGGGCUAGCCUCAAGGUGAGAGAUACGGAGGUAGAGCACUGAAUGUCCUAGGGGGUAUUGCACCUACCGAAGACUAUCAAACUCCGAAUGCCGUCAUCUUAUACUUGGGAGUCAGACUGUGGGUGAUAAGAUUCAUAGUCGAAAGGGCAACAGCCCAGAUCGUCAGCUAAGGUCCCUAAAUGUAAGUUAAGUGGUAAAGGAUGUGGGAUUGCACAGACAACCAGGAUGUUGGCUUAGAAGCAGCCACUCAUUCAAAGAGUGCGUAAUAGCUCACUGGUCGAGUGAUCCUGCGCCGAAGAUUUCCGGGGCUAAAACUUACUACCGAAGCUACGGCAUCAGUAAUGAUGGGUAGGGGAGCUUCCCAUACGGGUUGAAGCAUGACCGUAAGGACAUGUGGACAGUAUGGGAGUGAGAAUGUUGGCAUGAGUAGCGAGAUGUGGGUGAGAAUCCCACAGGCCGUAAACCCAAGGUUUCCAGGGGAAGGUUCGUCCGCCCUGGGUUAGUCGGGACCUAAGCUGAGGCCGAAAGGCGUAGG